UCCUACGGGGCGCAGCAGUGAGGAAUAUUGGUCAAUGGCCGAGAGGCUGAACCAGCCAAGUCGCGUGAGGGAAGACGGCCCUACGGGUUGUAAACCUCUUUUGUCGGGGAGCAAAGCGAGCCACGUGUGGUUCAUUGAGAGUACCCGAAGAAAAAGCAUCGGCUAACUCCGUGCCAGCAGCCGCGGUAAUACGGAGGAUGCGAGCGUUAUCCGGAUUUAUUGGGUUUAAAGGGUGCGCAGGCGGAGGUGCAAGUCAGCGGUCAAAUUGCGGGGCUCAACCCCGUACUGCCGUUGAAACUGCAUCC
rnacentral:rRNA from 1 species